GACGAACGCUGGCGGCGUGCCUAAUACAUGCCAGUCGAACGCACAGUUUAUACGGUAGCUUGCUACACCAUAGACUGUGAGUUGCGAACGGCUGAGUAACGCGUAGGUAACCUGCCUGGUAGCGGGUGAUAACUAUUGGAAACGAUAGCUAAUACCUCUUAAUAUUCAUUAUUGCAUGGUAAUUGACUGAAAUACUCUCUUGCAUCACUACCAGCUGGACCUGCGUUGUAUUAGCUAGUAGGUGAGGUAACGGCUCCACUAAGCGACGAUAGAUAGCCGACCUGAGAGGGGGGUCGGCCACACUGGGACUGAGAACAGGCUCAGGCUUCUACGGGAGGGAGCAGGAGGGAAACUUCCGGAAUUGACGAAAGGCUUACCGGGGAACGCCGCGGGAGUGAAGAAGGGUUUCGGAUCGUAAAGCCCUGUUGUAAGGGAAGAACGAGUGUUGGAGUUGAAAGUUCACACUGUGACGGUAUCUUAUCAGAAAGCGACGGCUAACUACGUG
rnacentral:rRNA from 1 species